rnacentral:rRNA from 1 species
UACGGGGGGGGCAAGCGUUGUUCGGAAUUACUGGGCGUAAAGGGCUCGUAGGCGGCCAACUAAGUCAGACGUGAAAUCUCCAGGCUUAACCUGGGAACUGCGUCUGAUACUGGAUGGCUUGAAUUCGGGAGAGGGAUGCAGAAUUCCAGGUGUAGCGGUGAAAUGCGUAGAGAUCCGGAAGAACACCGGUGGCGAAGGCGGCAUCCUGGACCGGUAUUGACGCUGAGGCGCGAAAGCCAGGGGAGCAAACGGGG